rnacentral:misc_RNA from 1 species
GUGAAUCAUCGAAUCUUUGAACGCAAAUUGCACUCUCCGGUUUUCCGGGAGAGUAUGCUUGUUUGAGGGUAAGUUUAAUUAAAAUCGGCUUAGUAGUUUGCUGUGUUUUUCACGGUAAGGAUGGUCGGGAUUUUGGUCAUGUUAAACCGAAAGGUUUUUAAGCGACUUAAAAUUUUCUUACGAUCUAGUGAUUGUUUCUAAGAUUUUGUUGCACGUU